AAAGGCCCUUCGGGGUACUCGAGCGGCGAACGGGUGAGUAACACGUGAGUAAUCUGCCCCAGGCUCUGGGAUAGCCACCGGAAACGGUGAUUAAUACCGGAUACGACAACCGAUUGCAUGAUCUGGUUGUGGAAAGUUUUUCGGCCUGGGAUGUGCUCGCGGCCUAUCAGCUUGUUGGUGAGGUAAUGGCUCACCAAGGCUUCGACGGGUAGCCGGCCUGAGAGGGUGACCGGCCACACUGGGACUGAGACACGGCCCAGACUCCUACGGGAGGCAGCAGUGGGGAAUAUUGGACAAUGGGCGGAAGCCUGAUCCAGCAACGCCGCGUGAGGGAUGACGGCCUUCGGGUUGUAAACCUCUUUCAGCACAGACGAAGCGCAAGUGACGGUAUGUGCAGAAGAAGGACCGGCCAACUACGUGCCAGCAGCCGCGGUAAUACGUAGGGUCCGAGCGUUGUCCGGAAUUAUUGGGCGUAAAGGGCUCGUAGGCGGUCUGUCGCGUCGGGAGUGAAAACCAGGUGCUUAACACCUGGCCUGCUUUCGAUACGGGCAGACUAGAGGUACUCAGGGGAGAAUGGAAUUCCUGGUGUAGCGGUGAAAUGCGCAGAUAUCAGGAGGAACACCGGUGGCGAAGGCGGUUCUCUGGGAGUAUCCUGACGCUGAGGAGCGAAAGUGUGGGGAGCGAACAGGAUUAGAUACCCUGGUAGUCCACACCGUAAACGUUGGGCGCUAGGUGUGGGA
rnacentral:rRNA from 1 species